ensembl:lncRNA
CAAGUAGAUCCCCUUUAGGAGCAUAAGAACCCUUUGUCCUACGGGUAGAACCAUUUUAUGAGCAUACGACCACCUAGAUCUCCAAGUAGAACCCUUUUAGGAGCAUAAGAACACCUAGAUCUCCAAGUAGAACCCUUUUAGGAGCAUAAGAACCCUUAGGCCUCCAAGUAGAACCCUUUUAGGAGCAUACGAACACCUAGAUCUCCAAGUAGAAUCCUUUUAGGAGCACAAGAAGCCUUAGUCCUCCGUGUAGAACCCUUUUAGUGGUGUAAGAACACUUAGUUCUCCAGGUAGAACCCUUUUAGGAGCAUACGGACAUCUUCAGGACAGAGGAAUUUAGGUUUUUGGAGUUUCUUGGUAACGUGGAAAGCUGCAUAUUUAUUUUCUUAUUAACUUCAAGAGAGAGAGAGAGAAAAGCGAGGCCGGGACGUGUCGAGUCACGCUGGUGAUCCUUUAUCGGUUGCUCCAUUAUUCCCGGUCGCGUGUCCUGCUGGCGUCAUGGGGGACAUCACUGUUGCCAGUGCGGUUACACAGCUGUUUACUGAAGGAAAUAUUUUGAAACAAUCUCAAAUAUAAGUGAUCGCUGUCAAGUUCUUCGCUGUUUUUGUUCAGCCGCUUAUUGAGCUGCUCAGAGCUGGGCUUUAUGACGCAAUUUUCAAACGAAAACUGUAAUAAAAACAAAUUCAAGUGUAAUUAAAUUAACCCCAUCAGACCAAAAACAAGAGCACCGGAUUUAUUUGCGUGAGAAAUAUAUCUCUUUCACGGAAUCGCUCCAGUAUAUUUAACUAAAUAAUGGAAAUGUCACUUUUCAGUUGAAUUCAUGCAACAGAUGCUAAUAUGUCUGUCAGUGUAUGAAAGCUAGCAGUAUGGGAAAAUAUUUCUUAAUACCAUCAUCAUCUGUCAUUUCCACGCAUCAGUGUGUGACAGGAAUAUUACACCCUCUGGCUGAUAUUCGGUAGCGAAGGAGAGAGAUAAUCGUGCACAUAUCAGACGAAUCACAGCGCCGCAGACGGUAGCGACUCGCUCUGGAACCGCCGCGUCUCUUCGCCUGAUCGCACGUUCCUGAACCCCGGUAGAGUCUCGGCGGAGUUCCAGGAAGUCAAUUUUAUUUAUAUAGCAAAUUAAACCGACUAAUGUUAAGCCAGAGUGCUUUAAAACCUUAUAACUGCAAGUCACACACAGAUAAAACAGAUUGAUGCGAGCACAAACCUUCACACAUUCAGCAGUUCCCAGAUGCUGUGUAGAAAUGCGCUCGAAUCCGUCGUUACAGAACGAAUACCUUCAAAACGGAUAGAAAGGGACUUUAUAAAAUCCCGUCAUGCCGUGAGUAAUAUCUUCAGUUUAGACAUAUAUGAUGUCUGCGUAGUUUUUUUUGUUUGUUUGUUUUUUU